AAGAAGAGUGCGGGAGAGAUUUAGCGUGACUGCUAAACGCCGAAGGAAGAAGCUGAAAAGUUCGCCGCUUUUUAGUGAAGAUCUCAGGCAAAAGGACCGUACUUGGACG
rnacentral:ncRNA from 2 species